rnacentral:rRNA from 1 species
AACGAACGCUGGCGGCAUGCCUAACACAUGCAAGUCGAACGAGACCUUCGGGUCUAGUGGCGCACGGGUGCGUAACGCGUGGGAACCUGCCCUUAGGUUCGGAAUAACUCCCCGAAAGGGGUGCUAAUACCGGAUAAUGUCUUCGGACCAAAGAUUUAUCGCCUUUGGAUGGGCCCGCGUUGGUUUAGCUAGUUGGUAGGGUAAAAGCCUACCAAGGCGACGAUCCAUAGCUGGUCUGGGAGGAUGAUCAGCCACACUGGGACUGAGACACGGCCCAGACUCCUACGGGAGGGAGCAGUGGGGAAUAUUGGACAAUGGGCGAAAGCCUGAUCCAGCAAUGCCGCGUGAGUGAUGAAGGCCUUAGGGUUGUAAAGCUCUUUUACCCGGGAUGAUAAUGACAGUACCGGGAGAAUAAGCUCCGGCUAACUACGUG